rnacentral:rRNA from 1 species
GAUGAACGCUGGCGGCGUGCCUAAUACAUGCAAGUCGAGCGAACAGAUGAGGAGCUUGCUCCUCUGACGUUAGCGGCGGACGGGUGAGUAACACGUGGAUAACCUACCUAUAAGACUGGGAUAACUUCGGGAAACCGGAGCUAAUACCGGAUAAUAUAUUGAACCGCAUGGUUCAAUAGUGAAAGACGGUUUUGCUGUCACUUAUAGAUGGAUCCGCGCCGCAUUAGCUAGUUGGUAAGGUAACGGCUUACCAAGGCAACGAUGCGUAGCCGACCUGAGAGGGUGAUCGGCCACACUGGAACUGAGACACGGUCCAGACUCCUACGGGAGGCAGCAGUAGGGAAUCUUCCGCAAUGGGCGAAAGCCUGACGGAGCAUCGCCGCGUGAGUGAUGAAGGUCUUCGGAUCGUAAAACUCUGUUAUUAGGGAAGAACAAAUGUGUAAGUAACUAUGCACGUCUUGACGGUACCUAAUCAGAAAGCCACGGCUAACUACGUG